GAUAAUGGAAGGUGUGCCACAGAGGAUCCCGGGGAGCCAGGCACAUACAACUGCAAGGCACAUUUUCCUCAACUUCAUGUUUUAUGUGUAACGUCCAGCAGAAUGCAGCCAGCUAAUGUUAUUACGAGCAAGAUGUGAUGGGGCUCAGGAGCCGCUGUGUUACCGAGCAGUAUUUCCAGGGUUCACCUUUUUAGAAAAUAGGCCAGUAAGUAAAGACUAAUGGAUUGUGUAUGAAAAAUAUUUAAUAAUGGAGUCUUCAAACUAUAACAAGCAAUUUCAUCAGCCUUGGAUGGUUAAUAAGUGUUCUAAGGAGUGGACUAACUUGGCAAAGCCAUUGAGCCACCCUAUGGCAUGGAACCAGUCCUGGACACGAGCCCUUGAUCCCAUAGGUAGAGAAUCUUAUGGCUCACAUGUAAAGCCAAUACCUCUACCAACAUAUCGAUAUGGCAGUAAUCUGCAACCAUGUGUUAGUAAUGAAGCUCACGCUGAUUGUUUUCUACAACAUUUACCUUCUGCCAGCUCAGAUGUUAGAUUUGAAGACAGAUUUCACAUUCCAUACAAUCACUUUGAAAAUAUCCAUCACAAAGAUGUAAAUGAAGAUGUAACAUCACAAUGGAUAACAGCGGGAACAGAACUAAUAAAAGUAGCUACAGUACCAAUUUCACAUUCAUUACUCAGAACUCCUUGGAAUGUCAUAGAGAAUGCCUCUGAGGCAGUAAGAGAUUAUGACUGUGACAUUGUCAGUGAGCAGCCACAACUUUUACAUUGCUCAAAUUCUGAAUCAAAAGUAACUAG